AGCGCCUUUAAAUCAGUCCCGUGAGGCUGGCAAGGUUACGUGAAUCGAGGUUCGCGGUUUUAUUGAAGGAAUCCGUCUGUCUGUACGGAGUUCUUUUGCUGCGCACCCACCAUCACUCUACAUUCGCGGAUUUCACUCCUUGCCCGGUUCGGGCAAGGAGUUUUUUGA
rfam:Paenibacillus stellifer strain DSM 14472, complete genome.